rnacentral:rRNA from 1 species
GAUCCGGUGGUUCUGAAUGGAAGGGCCAUCGCUCAACGGAUAAAAGGUACUCCGGGGAUAACAGGCUGAUACCGCCCAAGAGUUCAUAUCGACGGCGGUGUUUGGCACCUCGAUGUCGGCUCAUCACAUCCUGGGGCUGAAGUAGGUCCCAAGGGUAUGGCUGUUCGCCAUUUAAAGUGGUACGCGAGCUGGGUUUAGAACGUCGUGAGACAGUUCGGUCCCUAUCUGCCGUGGGCGCUGGAGAACUGAGGGGGGCUGCUCCUAGUACGAGAGGACCGGAGUGGACGCAUCACUGGUGUUCGGGUUGUCAUGCCAAUGGCACUGCCCGGUAGCUAAAUGCGGAAGAGAUAAGUGCUGAAAGCAUCUAAGCACGAAACUUGCCCCGA